rnacentral:rRNA from 1 species
AUUGAACGCUGGCGGCAGGCCUAACACAUGCAAGUCGAGCGGAUGAAGAGAGCUUGCUCUCUGAUUUAGCGGCGGACGGGUGAGUAAUGCCUAGGAAUCUGCCUGGUAGUGGGGGAUAACGUUCCGAAAGGAACGCUAAUACCGCAUACGUCCUACGGGAGAAAGCAGGGGACCUUCGGGCCUUGCGCUAUCAGAUGAGCCUAGGUCGGAUUAGCUAGUUGGUGAGGUAAUGGCUCACCAAGGCUACGAUCCGUAACUGGUCUGAGAGGAUGAUCAGUCACACUGGAACUGAGACACGGUCCAGACUCCUACGGGAGGCAGCUGUGGGGAAUAUUGGACAAUGGGCGAAAGCCUGAUCCAGCCAUGCCGCGUGCGUGAAGAAGGUCUUCGGAUUGUAAAGCACUUUAAGUUGGGAGGAAGGGCAGUAAGUUAAUACCUUGCUGUUUUGACGUUACCGACAGAAUAAGCACCGGCUAACUUCGUGCCAGCCGCCGCAGUAAUAC